rnacentral:rRNA from 1 species
UACGAAGGGGCUAGCGUUGCUCGGAAUCACUGGGCGUAAAGCGCACGUAGGCGGCUUCUAAGUCAGGGUGAAAUCCUGGAGCUCAACUCCAGAACUGCCUUGAUACUGGAGAGCUUGAGUCCGGAAGAGGUGAGUGGAACUCCGAGUGUAGAGGUGAAAUUCGUAGAUAUUCGGAAGAACACCAGUGGCGAAGGCGGCUCACUGGUCCGGUACUGACGCUGAGGUGCGAAAGCGUGGGAGCAAACAG